rnacentral:tRNA from 1 species
GAAAUCUUAGUUUAUUAAAAAUACGAUCUUUGUAAGUUCGAGAAUUUAGAUUUCUGAUUUAAUAAUAGUCC